rnacentral:lncRNA from 1 species
AACCUGCUCACUGGAUACUUACUAAGAUUACCAUCUUUGGUUGUCUCAAUAACCUUGUGAAGAGGGUGACAUGACAAUCAACUCUGUUUCCUAGGAAGAAUGAGCAAACAGCGGCGGCCCGCUGGCCUCAGAGCCACUGCCUAGUGUCUGGCACCCAGAGGCUUCCCGGGCCGACCUUGUGGAAAAAGGCCAACAGGGAGAAAGCCACAGCCAAAGGAACACACCGAACCUGGCUCCACGCGCAGACGCCAGCGCGGCAGCCAUUGGCGUUCGGUGCGAGCCUGUCCAGCCGCCCUGUGCUCCAUCAC